AGAGAUACCAAAUGCUGAUAAAUCUUUAGAAAUGGAAAUAUUAAAGCAGAAAUACCGUAUCAUAAACUGUAUUCUUCAUCUGAAUUCAUAAAGCAAAGCUCUGAAAGCUUCUGAAGAUCCCUGGAGUAACUAUGUGGUGGGCAGUGGUUAAGCAUGAGGGUUUUACAGUUAGUUAGUACCUGAGUUCAAACCCCUAUUCAACUAGGUACAUAAUAACUGUUGCCCUGGGCAAUCUGCUUAACCUUUCUCUAUAAUAGUUUCUUACCUAUAAACUGGGAACAAAAAUAAACUAGCCAUGAACUAACAGUGUAACUUUGGGAAAAAUCGUUUAAACUUCAAAAAUACGUGUUUCCUGGAAGGAUUGUGACUACCGAGGUUAAAACCUAUGCGUUCCUACAUUCAGAAGGGACCGAGGUUAAAACCUAUGCCUUCCUACAUUCAGAAGGGCUAAAAGAAGAACUGAAAAUAAAUUCAUGAAAUGUGU
rnacentral:sRNA from 1 species